CUUCCUAUGGUUUUUGGGAUGACAACAAAGGACUCACUGGGAUCCGUCUUCAUUGUAUAAGUCUAUCAAGUGUCUUGAAGGGCUAAUUUGAGGACUACACCUCAGUUCAGUCAGAAGUAGGAAGAUGGGGUUGGUGGACAGAUAUCGAAUGGUGUGCUUGUGGAUUCUUGACUGCUUUUCAGUUGAGAGUCGAAUCAUACCAAUUAUUUGGAGAUGACACGGCCGCAAACAACAUCAUGUUCAAAUGCAGUCGGGAGUAUUUAUAUGGUGACGGCACACACUGGGACAAUUGGGGCGACUGGAGUCAAAUGUGUUGGGGAACAGGAAUUUGUGGUAUCAAGACACGGAUAGAAGAGCCGCAGGGAUCUGGAGACGACACCGCUCUCAAUGACGUGCGCAUGUACUGCUGCGCUUAAGGUGUAAGAGGACAACAAGAAGAAAAGCGAGAAGAUCAAAUAAAUCAUAAUAACUCAUUGUGAUACUAUGAUGAACUAACAUGAACCGUGUCAUAUAAUAGUUUAAUGUGCAGUCCGCUGGUCAUUAUCACAAAAUUAAGCCUAACAGGACAAUCAAGACCCUAAAAAAAGCUGAGGACUGGAUCAUCCUGCUUAUUAUUUGAGUAGAAAUUUCACUAUUUGUGUGCCAAAUAUCAGCAUUAAAGACUUACUAAGAAACACCAUGUAAUUUCACAUCAUUUAUCAGAACACUUUACAUCAGAUGUUUCAUUGCAUUAAUGCAUGUAGCAGAUGGUUUUAUCUAAAGUGACAUACACUGCAUUCAAAUGAACUUAUCUGUUCAUUUAUUUUCUGGGAAUGAACAGUGAACUCUACAGGAACAUUAGAUGAGCAAUGCAUGUAACCCUAAACUUUACUAACCUCUGAGGGCAUAUGUACAUCCUACACUCUUAUUUUUUUUAUUUUAUUAUUAUUAUUAUUU